rnacentral:rRNA from 1 species
GAUUAACGCUGGCGGCGUGCAUAACACAUGCAAGUCGAACGAUGAAGAUUAUUAGACUUCUUCGGAAUGAAAAUAAUUGGAUUAGUGGCGGACGGGUGAGUAACGCGUGAGUAACCUGCCUUACACAAGGGGAUAGCCGUUGGAAACGACGAAUAAUACCCUAUGAAACUAUCACUUCGCAUGAAGCGAUAGUCAAAGUGUUAGCGGUGUAAGAUGGACUUGCGUCUGAUUAGCUAGUUGGUGAGAAAAAAGCCCACCAAGGCAACGAUCAGUAGCCGGCUUGAGAGAGUGUACGGCCACAUUGGGACUGAGACACGGCCCAGACUCCUACGGGAGGCAGCAGUGGGGAAUUUUGCACAAUGGGGGAAACCCUGAUGCAGCGACGCCGCGUGAUUUAGAAGGCCUUCGGGUUGUAAAAAUCUUUUGUAUAGGAAGAAAAUGACAGUACUAUACGAAUAAGGUCCGGCUAAUUACGUG